rnacentral:rRNA from 1 species
UGAAUACGAGACGCUAAGGCGUCGAAGUAGUGUAUGUCAUACUUCCAAGAAAAGCUUGCACUGUCAUAGAUAAAAAACGCCUGUACCAUAACCGACACAGGUGGGUAGGUAGAGUAUACUAAGGGGCGCGAGAUAACUCUCUCUAAGGAACUCGGCAAAAUAACUCCGUAACUUCGGGAGAAGGAGUGCCUUAUUAUUAAGGCUGCAAUAACAAGAUCCAAGCAACUGUUUAUCAAAAACACAGGUCUCCGCUAAGUCGUAAGACGAUGUAUGGGGGCUGACGCCUGCCCAGUGCCAGAAGGUUAAAGAAGUUGGUUAGCAUUUGCGAAGCUGAUAACUGAAGCCCUGGUGAACGGCGGCCGUAACGAUAACGGUCCUAAGGUAGCGAAAUUCCUUGUCGGGUAAGUUCCGACCAGCACGAAAGGCGUAAUGAUUUGGAUACUGUCUCGGAGAGGGGCUCGGUGAAAUAGACUUGUCUGUGAAGAUGCGGACUACCUGCACCAGGACAGAAAGACCCUAUGAAGCUUUACUGUAACUUGAAAUUGAAAUUGGACUUUAUUCGCGCAGCAUAGGUGGGAGGCGUUGAUUAUAAUCUUGUGGGAUUAUUGGAGCCAUCAGUGAGAUACCACUCUUGUAAUGUUAGAUUUCUAACUUUGAAUCAUUAUCUGGUCAAAGAACAGUUUCAGGCGGGCAGUUUGACUGGGGCGGUCGCCUCCUAAACGGUAACGGAGGCGUACAAAGGUUUCCUCUGAACGGUUAGAAAUCGUAUCUAGAGUGUAAAGGCAUAAGGAAGCUUGACUGUGAGACCUACAAGUCGAGCAGGGACGAAAGUCGGUCUUAGUGAUCUGACGGUACUGAGUGGAAAGGCCGUCACUCAACGGAUAAAAGUUACUCUUAGGAUAACAGGCUGAUCUCCCCCAAGAGUUCACAUCGACGGGGAGGUUUGGCACCUCGAUGUCGGCUCAUCGCAUCCUGGGGCGGUAGUACGUCCCAAGGGUUGGGCUGUUCGCCCAUGAAAGCGGUACGCGAGCUGGGUUCAGAACGUCGUGAGACAGUUCGGUCCAUAUCCGGUGUAGGCGUUAGAAUAUUGAGAGGAGCCUUCUUUAGUACGAGAGGACCGAGAAGGACAUACCUCUGGUGUACCAGUUAUCGUGCCAACGGUAAACGCUGGGUAGCUAUGUAUGGAGUGGAUAACCGCUGAAAGCAUCUAAGUGGGAAGCCCACCUCAAGAUAAGUAUUCUCA